rnacentral:rRNA from 1 species
GCUCAUCCCUGGACAGGUGGUGAAAACUACUAAUUUAGAGUACGGUAGGGGAAGAGGGAAUUUCGGGUGGAGCGAUGAAAUGCGUAUAGAUCAGAAAGAACCCCAACGGCGGAAGCACUCUGCUGGGCCUACACUGACUCUGAUAGACAAAAGCUAGGGGAGCGAAUGGGAUUAUAGACCCCAAUACUCCUACCCAUAAAAUAAGGAUACUAACUGGCUGUGCGUAUCUACCCGUGCCACGCUGUACCUAACGCGUUAAGUAUCCCGCCUGGGGAGUACGUUCCCAAGAAUGAAACUCUUAGGAAUUGACUGGGGCCCCCACAAGCGGUGGAGCAUGUGGUUUAAUUCCAUGCAAAACCAAAAACCUUACCAGGGUUUGACCUGCACAAAUCCUCUUGAAAGAGAUGAGUGUCUUCUGCAUUGCGACGCUGGUGGUGCAUGGCUGUCUCCAGCUCGUGCCUGGAGGUGUUGGGUUUAGUCCCACAACGAGCGUCACCCUCUUGUUUAGAUGCCUGCGCCUAGUUUGGAACUCUGAGCAGACUGCCUGUGAUAAGCCGGAGAAAGGUGAGGAUGACGUCCUGUCUUCAUGCCCCUUAUGCCCUGUGCUACACACGUGCUACGAUGGAGCGGACUAAC